GACGAACGCUGGCGGCGUGCUUAACACAUGCAAGUCGAACGGAAAGGCCCUGCUUUUGUGGGGUGCUCGAGUGGCGAACGGGUGAGUAACACGUGAGUAACCUGCCCUUGACUUUGGGAUAACUUCAGGAAACUGGGGCUAAUACCGGAUAGGAGCUCCUGCUGCAUGGUGGGGGUUGGAAAGUUUCGGCGGUUGGGGAUGGACUCGCGGCUUAUCAGCUUGUUGGUGGGGUAGUGGCUUACCAAGGCUUUGACGGGUAGCCGGCCUGAGAGGGUGACCGGCCACAUUGGGACUGAGAUACGGCCCAGACUCCUACGGGAGGCAGCAGUGGGGAAUAUUGCACAAUGGGCGGAAGCCUGAUGCAGCAACGCCGCGUGCGGGAUGACGGCCUUCGGGUUGUAAACCGCUUUCGCCUGUGACGAAGCGUGAGUGACGGUAAUGGGUAAAGAAGCACCGGCUAACCACGUGCCAGCAGCCGCGGUGAUACGUAGGGUGCGAGCGUUGUCCGGAUUUAUUGGGCGUAAAGGGCUCGUAGGUGGUUGAUCGCGUCGGAAGUGUAAUCUUGGGGCUUAACCCUGAGCGUGCUUUCGAUACGGGUUGACUUGAGGAAGGUAGGGGAGAAUGGAAUUCCUGGUGGAGCGGUGGAAUGCGCAGAUAUCAGGAGGAACACCAGUGGCGAAGGCGGUUCUCUGGGCCUUUCCUGACGCUGAGGAGCGAAAGCGUGGGGAGCGAACAGGCUUAGAUACCCUGGUAGUCCACGCUGUAAACGGUGGGUACUAGGUGUGGGGUCCAUUCCACGGGUUCCGUGCCGUAGCUAACGCUUUAAGUACCCCGCCUGGGGAGUACGGCCGCAAGGCUAAAACUCAAAGGAAUUGACGGGGCCCCGCACAAGCGGCGGAGCAUGCGGAUUAAUUCGAUGCAACGCGUAGAACCUUACCUGGGUUUGACAUGGAUCGGGAGCGCUCAGAGAUGGGUGUGCCUCUUUUGGGGUCGGUUCACAGGUGGUGCAUGGCUGUCGUCAGCUUGUGUCGUGAGAUGUUGGGUUAAGUCCCGCAACGAGCGCAACCCUUGUUCACUGUUGCCAGCACGUUAUGGUGGGGACUCAGUGGAGACCGCCGGGGUCAACUCGGAGGAAGGUGGGGAUGACGUCAAGUCAUCAUGCCCCUUAUGUCCAGGGCUUCACGCAUGCUACAAUGGCUGGUACAGAGAGUGGCGAGCCUGUGAGGGUGAGCGAAUCUCGGAAAGCCGGUCUCAGUUCGGAUUGGGGUCUGCAACUCGACCUCAUGAAGUCGGAGUCGCUAGUAAUCGCAGAUCAGCAACGCUGCGGUGAAUACGUUCCCGGG
rnacentral:rRNA from 1 species